rnacentral:rRNA from 1 species
UACGUAGGGUGCAAGCGUUAAUCGGAAUUACUGGGCGUAAAGCGUGCGCAGGCGGUUUUGUAAGUCAGAUGUGAAAUCCCCGGGCUUAACCUGGGAACUGCGUUUGAAACUACAAGGCUAGAGUGUGGCAGAGGGGGGUGGAAUUCCACGUGUAGCAGUGAAAUGCGUAGAGAUCGGAAGGAACACCAGUAGCGAAGGCGGCUACCUGGACAGAUACUGACGCUGAGGCGCGAGAGCGUGGGGAGCAAACAGG